CUGUAGCGUGUAGGAGAGCCUAUCCGUCGAGUUUUCGGCUUCGGAAUCGCCCUCGAAUGGGAGUCCAAAGCGGGUGCGAGACCCGUAACGAAGUCGCGCUCGUCGGUUUGAGCCUUCUUAGAGUCGGGUUACUUGAGAGUGUAGCCCAAAGCGGAAGGUAAACCCCUUCUAAGGCUAAAUAUGACCGCGAGACCGAUAGCGAACAAGUACCGCGAGGGAAAGUUGAAAAGAACUUUGAAGAGAGAGUUCAAAAGGGCGUGAAACCGCUUAGAAUAAAACGGACGGAGCCGUCGGUGGCCUUCCGGAAUCAGUCGUACGACGCGCGAUGGCGCGUUUCGUCGGAGCGAAAGUCCGGCGGGCGCGUUGGGAGAUAGUAGCGUUCGUUCGAUGCAUUUCCGGAGGGUAUGCGCCGCGACCGAUGCGAGGGGCUAGCGAAUCCGGCGAUUUGAGGUGGAAACCCUUCACGGGGUCUUCAUUACCAGUUCGCCGGCUUGUAAUCGCUAGACGUAAGCAUCGAGCGCGUAAUAUAAUGGACACUGGCUAAUGUGCUCGCUUAAGAGGUGGAUAGUCGGCGGAAUUUGCCGUACCUGCUCGCAGGUUAUGCGGAUUCCCGUUCGGCUUUUGAAGCCUCGGGCGAGUUAUAGUGUCCUGGCGUCAGCGGCGUCCGAGACGGUCAACCGUCCGACCCGUCUUGAAACACGGACCAAGGAGUCUAACGUAUGCGCGAGCUAAUGAGUGGAAAACUCAUAAGCGCAAUAAAAGUAAAAGGUACGAUCCCGGGGUAUUUACUUACCCCGGGCGCAGUACCGUCCCAUCCUGAUCGCUUGUCGGUAGGGUGGAGAUUGAGUGCCUACGUUGGGACCCGAAAGAUGGUGAACUAUGCCUGAGCAGAGCGAAGCCAGAGGAAACUCUGGUGGAGGUUCGUAGCGGUUCUGACGUGCAAAUCGAUCGUCAGACUUGGGUAUAGGGGCGAAAGACUAAUCGAACCAUCUAGUAGCUGGUUCCCCCUGAAGUUUCCCUCAGGAUAGCUGAUACUCGAGGGUUAACGAAGUUUUAUCCGGUAAAGCGAAUGAUUAGAGGCCUUGGGGACAAAAUGACCUCAACCUAUUCUCAAACUUUAAAUGGGUAAGAAGUCGAGCUUGCUUGAUUCGAAGCGCGGCGAAAGAAUUCGAGUAUCAAGUGGGCCAUUUUUGGUAAGCAGAACUGGCGCUGCGGGAUGAACCGAACGGCGAGUUAAGGCGCCCGAAUAAACGCUCAUCAGAGCCCACAAAAGGUGUUAGUUGAUAUAGACAGCAGGACGGUGGCCAUGGAAGUCGGAAUCCGCUAAGGAGUGUGUAACAACUCACCUGCCGAAUCAACUAGCCCUGAAAAUGGAUGGCGCUCGAGCGUUUUGCCCAUACUCGUCCGCUGUCGACUGAUUAAGCGUCUACGAUACGCCUAGUCGCAGCGAGUAAGGGGGUCGCGAUGGUAAGCGUCGAA
rnacentral:rRNA from 1 species